CAAUCUCCACUUUUCACUCUCCACUCUCUCAGCGCCUCUGGUUUUGCUUGCUAGCGAGAAUAAGUGGCUGAAGAAAAUGAGGAACAACAUGACAGAGAUCAAUCAGUGGUGGGAUACUGGGAUGAAAUUAUAAUGCCUGCAGACGAAGAGCCACUGCAUGAAAAUCAUGAAGAAGAUGGUAAAAUCACUGAACUAGAGAGCACUAAUGCAAUCAAGGAUGUAUUCAAAAUUUUGAUACGUGGACUGUCGGUUUGAUGGAAAGUGAUGCAGUGACAGGUUGUGAAGAAUCUGUGACGACAAGAGAACUGGGGAAUGCUUGAUGAUACAUUGCAAAUGUCUUUGUGACAAAGGCUAUCAGAUUCUUCUCCCUAUAAGAAACUGUUACUGCAAACUUAUGUAGAUCAUGACAGAUUAUUGGUCCAAAAUCCUGAUAUCAAGUACUAAUAUACUUUUUUAUUUGUACUGCUUGUUCAUUC